rnacentral:rRNA from 1 species
CUAACACCCGUGCCAGCAGCCUAGUAAAGCCGGAGGAUGCAAGCGUUAGCCGGAAUAAUGGGGUUGAAAGGGUCAGGAGGCGGCCUUAUAAUGCAGCGGGGAAAGUUGUUGGCUUAACCAAAAAAUGGCCAUUGAUACUGUAGGGCUUGAAUAUUUGUGUAGUAACUAGAAUAUGUAGUGGAGCGGUGAAAUGAUUAGAUAGUACAUGGAAUACCAAUUGCGAAGGCAGGUUACUAACAAAUGAUUGACGCUGAUGGACGAAAGCGUGGGUAGCGAACAGGAUUAGAUACCCUAGUAGUC